rnacentral:rRNA from 1 species
UGGGGAAUCUUGCACAAUGGGGGCAACCCUGAUGCAGCGACGCCGCGUGAGCGAUGAAGCCCUUCGGGGUGUAAAGCUCUUUCGGCAGGGAAGAUUAUGACGGUACCUGCAGAAGCAGCUGCGGCUAACUACGUGCCAGCAGCCGCGGUAAUACGUAGGCAGCAAGCGUUGUUCGGAGUUACUGGGCGUAAAGGGUGUGUAGGCGGCUUGGGUAAGUGUGGUGUGAAAUCUCCCGGCUCAACUGGAGGGUGCGCUACAGACUGCCGGGCUAGAGUGCGGGAUGGGAGAGUGGAAUUCCUGGUGUAGCGGUGAAAUGCGUAGAUAUCGGGAGGAACACCGGUGGUGUAGACGGCUCUCUGGACCGUAACUGACGCUGAGACACGAAAGCGUGGGUAGCAAACAGGAUUAGAUACCCUGGUAGUCCACGCCCUAAACGAUGCAUAUUUGGUGUGGGUCAUUCAGUUGAUCCGUGCCGGAGCUAACGCGUUAAAUAUGCCGCC